GGGAUGGCGACGUAGUAUCGGGCGGGAAGUCGAGGACGUACUCCGGCCGCGUGGGAGCGCUCAUUAGGGAUAGAGUCCCUAUGUUGUGGUCAGACUGGGGCGAGGUCCCGCAGGAGGUUAAGGACAUGGUCCACAACGCGAUGUCGGUGAGUUUAUAAAAUACCUGAAUAAUAUUAUGUAUUACAUUGUAGAUUUCUGGAAAAACUAAACUAAUAAACGGUUAAAUGCAGGCGUGAUUUGAGGUUCCCGAGCCCUUGAAGAGCAGCUGGGCGGACUUUGUGCAUGGGGGAAGGUACGUUGGGAAAUUAAUGAAAAAACAAAACUGUAUGUCAUAUUAAUAAUAUUUCUAAUAUUUUUGUUGUAUCUGUAGGUACAAGGAGUGGAAGAACGAGUUGCGGACCCAUUGGACUACGCACGGGAACGCACGUUCUGCUACCCCUGUUGAGUUCCAGUACAGAGAGUACGAGUGGCGUUGGCUUCUGACAUCAGAAUUCAACAACCCUCGUAAACAGGUAUUUAAAUAAAUUAAUUAGUUAAUUUAUCAUUAAGUACGUGCGUUUUAAAAUAUUUUACUAAUAGUUUACUUUUUUCUUUGAAGGCGGUUUCCCGGGUGAACGCUUAGAACCGGCAACGCAACACAAGGAACCAUCAUGCCGGUUCUAGACCGUUCGCUGUCUUCAUGGACGAGGCGGCCAGGGAACAUCCAGAGGUCAACCAGUACGUCUAUACGUACGAGAGGGCAUAUCCUGACUCCUAGGAGGAUAUAAUAAGUACUCUUUCCUUUUUACGGAAUUUUUAAUUUUGCUUAUAUAUAUGUCAAAAUGUUAAUUAAUAAUUUUUUUCCUAUCCAAUUAGGCAAAGGUGAGGGAGGCUAGUGACGAGGUGAUGAGUGCUAUAGUGAGGGAGACAUGGCCGGACACGCAGGAGGAAGAGAUGUCCGAAGCCAUUUCCCGGAUCGACACUUCAGAUCCGAGGGUUGGGGCGAGGAUCAUGGGCACAGCCUUCCCACUGCGAAAAAACAACUUCUACUGCCGGGGUCUAGAAAAGAAGGGCCAGGGGGUCCUGAAGACCACUCCAGGAUUUCAACGAAAGGCAGCCUCGACCAACAGCAGGACGACUUAGCUAGAGUCGGAAGUUGAGAGACUACGGGAACAACAAGCCGCUCAGGCUGCAGCUCAUGUUGCUCAGGCUGCCGCUCAGGCUGCUCAGGCUGCCGCUCAUGCCGCCCAGAUAGCCGAAUAUAGAGCCUAUACUAGAGCCCUACAUGCCGCCCAGCAGGCCCAGCAGCAGCAGAUGUUCCAGUACUUCUAGGAUUUUACAGCUGCUCAGCUUCAGGGACUUCCACCUCCGCCCAUGCCUGCGCCUAUAGAGUUACCUCUGCCGCCGCAAUCUCCUCACCAGCCAGGCCCCAGAUUCGGAUAUUGAUUUAGACCAUCUAGAUUUUGUGUAGUUGAUACCUUAUAUAGUUUUAUGUNNNNNNNNNNNNNNNNNNNNUUUUUUUCCAAAGGGUUUAGCCGACGAAUUAUGGCAUGUUUCGUCGGCUAAACACUACUAAAGCCGACGAAACAACUAAAGCCGACGAAACAGACUCUAUGUCGUCGGCUAUAGUUAUUUUUAAAUAUUUUAAUUAUAUACUUUAGCCGACGAAUAUCUGUGUUCCAUCGGCUAAAGUCUGUGAGUAAAGCCGACGAAUAUUCUGUUCGUCGGCUUAAGUCUGAGAGUAUAGCCGACGACACAGGACGUCGUCGGCUAAAGUCUGGAACAAUAGCCGACAAAAAAUAGUUCGUCGGCUAAAGUCUGGACAAUAGCCGACGACGGUCUUUAGGUUCGUCGGCUAAAGCGAUCACCGACGACCCUUUCCCGACGACACUAUAGCCGACGAAGGCUCGUCGGCUAAGGUCUUAGCCGACGAAUUAUGAUAACAGGUCGACGAAAAUUUUUCGUCGGCUAAAGUACUUGUCCUGGUAGUAAUUGGUCAAUUUAAGAGUAGGGAAUAUAUAUAUAUAUUCCAAGAGUAGGGAAUAUAUAUGCUACUAAACGUACAUAUCACAUGUCUUAAUACACACAUUUUAAAAAAAUUGAGGUUGAUUGUAAGAAUGUAUAUCGAGACUUUUGGAAUAAGUUAGGCUAGAGUUAAACCCUAUUUGUUUUUGGAAGGCAAAUGAGAAAUCUAUGUCUAUAACCGACAUCGAUCUCCCAUGAAUUGUAAUCUUAAAUAGGUAUUUUGGUACAUACAUGUUUAAUAACCUAUUUGAUUCAUUCACAUAAAAGAACGAGACCUUUUACUUAAAAAAACAGAGUUCCUAUUGCUAUGAAAACAAGAAUAUAGCCAAGUACACGCUUUCAUUAGACCAAUCUCAUUAGGUGUCUCCCCAAAAAAAAAAAAUCUCAUUAGGUAAAACGUAAAAGUAAAACUAUUUGCCUCUACAUUUUGCCUCGCGAGUUGCGAACUUGCGAUUGCCCUCAUUGGAGUGUGCAAAAUGGAUAAGGAUCCCCUUUGUUUGUCCUUGACUUUAAAUCCUAUCCAUUCAGCCAAUAUCCAAAGGUCCUAAACCAGCAAAGCUCCACUAAAACUCAUUUAAU
rnacentral:lncRNA from 1 species